rnacentral:rRNA from 1 species
UACGUAGGGUGCGAGCGUUAAUCGGAAUUACUGGGCGUAAAGCGUGCGCAGGCGGUUCGUUAAGUUCGAUGUGAAAGCCCCGGGCUCAACCCGGGAACUGCGUCCGAUACUGGCAGGCUUGAAUUCGGGAGAGGGAUGUGGAAUUCCACGUGUAGCAGUGAAAUGCGUAGAGAUGUGGAGGAACACCGAUGGCGAAGGCAGCCCCCUGGGUCAAGAUUGACGCUCAUGCACGAAAGCGUGGGGAGCAAACAGG